rnacentral:misc_RNA from 1 species
AACGCACAUUGCGCCUUCCGGCAUUCCGGGAGGCAUGCCUGUCCGAACGUCAUCAAACCCCUCGCCAGGAGCCGUUUCUGACAACGGCCCCAGGGCGGCAGCUGGGGGACGGCGGCCGCUCGCUCGGCCGCCACCCCCGAAACGCACUGGCGCGUACGCCCCGGCCGUGAUUGUGAUAAGCCCUUAUAGCGGUCACAGGCCACCGGUUCUGCGCAGCCCUAAAGGGCCGAGGGUGCUCUCCACGGCACCCGAAGCACCUAACCCAGCAUUUGACUUCGGAUCAGGUAGGGAUACCCGCUGAACUUAA